rnacentral:rRNA from 1 species
UACGUAGGGUGCAGGCGUUAAUCGGAAUUACUGGGCGUAAAGCGUGCGCAGGCGGUUUGCUAAGACAGGUGUGAAAUCCCCGGGCUUAACCUGGGAACUGCGCUUGUUACUGGCAGACUUGAGUGUGGCGAGAGGGGGGUGGAAUUCCACGUGUAGCAGUGAAAUGCGUAGAUAUGCGGAGGAACACCGAUGGCGAAGGCAAUCCCCUGGGCCUGCACUGACGCCCAUGCACGAAAGCGUGGGGAGCAAACAGG